GGAGGGGUGGCAGAGUGGUCGAAUGCGGCGGUCUUGAAAACCGUUGGGCGUGCGAGCGUCCCGUGGGUUCGAAUCCCACCCCCUCCGCCA
rnacentral:tRNA from 1 species